UACCAGCACCCCGAGUGGUCGGGACGUUAUUGGGCCUAAAGCAUCCGUAGCCGGUUCUGCAAGUCCCCGUUAAAUACCAGCUCGCUCAACAGAUGGGCCGCGGGAGGAUGACUACAGAGCUAGGAGGCGAGGGAGGAGGCAAAGCGGUACUCAGUGGGUAGGGGGUAAAAUCCGUUGAUCCAUUGAAGACCACCAGUGGCGAAGGCGGCUUGCCAGAACGCGCUCGACGGUGAGGGAUGAAAGCUGGGGGGAGCAAACCGG
rnacentral:rRNA from 1 species